UCAGUGGGAUAACAGAGUUGUGCUUGAAAUAUGACUGUACAAGUAAUGUUAGGCAAGAGCAUUUAGGCAAGGUAUCUAUUCAUAUAGGCUUAUACUAUGACUUUAAAAGAAGACCUGUACCUUGUUCAACUACUGUGAAACCAGGCUUUUACAAAUUAACAACAGAAAAUGUUGUAAUCCAGAAAUAAUUCCGCAGCAGAAGCCCAGCACUGAUGCCUUCUAGAGGAGCAUCUUUGUUUUUCUGUUCCUUCCUACCAUGAAGCACCUGGCACCAAGCGGAAGACGAGAACAGGCACGUUUCAUCUAACGUUUCACAGGUCAGACAGUCAGUUGAAGUUUUAAAAUUUUCUUUCUGCUUUGAUAUUUACACCAAAAGUUUACCCUGCGUGUUCCUGAAAGAAUCUAUGUCCCGAAAGACUCUCUCUACCUGAACAACUGUUAAUCUAGUGUCCUACCUGAUAAUGCACCAAGGAACUCUGUUCUUGCUGUUGUUGGUGCCUAUACUCCCAUCAGGUGGUCAUUUUCAAACAUUGAGAUUAGCGAAUAUCAGAUACACCUAGCAAGCAGGACCAGAGGAAAAACAUCAAGCCAUUUUCCAUUUGAGAGAGAAAAAAAAAACACAGGAGAAUGUAUACAUCACUCUAACAACACCUCUUCAUCUGGACGAGUACAAGGUCUGAUGGUUCUUUCUUCCCUUUUACUGUCUCCUGAACUUUGAAUCUACUCCCUCCACCCCUAUGGUUGCACUGUGCCGUCUCAUGGACUACUCCUGCACUCAGGCUUUAAGAAAUCUACGUGUCUAUGAAGAUAAUUACUUGUGAUCAUCUCAAUAGCAAAGAAUUUUUUUUCACUACAAUUUAAAAACUCUAUCUUAGGAGAAUAUUUCAAGAGUCAUUUAAUAAGUGUUACAGUUCACUGAAUCUUGAAUUGCUGCUGCAGUCAGUUUUCAUUAUGUUGUUUUCUUUUGACUUUAAAUUUCCAACCCAUUCCACUUCAGAAACACACAACAGCCUUCUUCUGAACUGAGAAACAGAGUUUAUUGAUAUAACUGUAAAAGGAAAGAAAAAGCUUGAAGAUUACCAAAUGCUGUAACUGUUAAGGAGCUGUUUACGAAGCAUUUUGUAAAAAGCUAAGAAUAGUAUAUAUAUUUUCUGUUGGUAUCAGUUAAGAAAGCAACUUUUCACAAAUCUGAUUUGUGCAGAUGUUUUAUAUAUCUGCAAAAUCAAGAAAUGUUUGUUAUUUUCCAUAACAAGGGUUUACAGAACCUCAAAACAGUCUAAAAAAGGCGAUUAUAUUUUGAAAACUGGACAUUGUCAGGAAGUGGUUUAGGGAAAUAUAAAUGACCUGCCUUCAUCAACAACUAUUACGGAAAAAUUUCACAUGUACUACAGAUAGACUACUGUCAAAUGCUGAUUUACCAAAAUAGGGAUGAGAAGUAUGUAGCACAAUCUCAGUUCCUCAAAAUCUUAACUUUAAACAUGUGCUUUUGUGUUCUGCUGGAGUCAGCCCUUGCACAUCCUCAUGUUGACAGGAUAAACGUUAAAGAGACAAAAAAAAUCUAACAAAUUAAGUUGUAAAGCUGCAAAUAGCAUAGCAGCCUAUCAGCCACACUUAUAUGCAUCUUAAUUGGUAGCCAAAGUUUUAGAGUACAAAAAAUACCUUGUUUUACUCAAGAAAUAAAAAGUGGUCAUAUCUGCAAAAAGCCCACCUCUUGUCAACAGAUUUUAUUCUACUGAAGAUUCUGUAAUCCAGCCAGGGCCCCAGUACCCUACCCAAGCUAAUGAGAAGCAAUGAUAAUUGGGAUUCCACAAAAUCCAGUGCUCCUAACUGAAGUAAACACAGUGAAAGCACCUAUAGUGAAUUUGUUGCAAUUUAAAUCUCUAUAUGAUAAUAAGCUGUUGACACAUGCUAAAAUCAGACCAGUUCUCUCUUGAUUUCAAGGAAGCAUGUGAUCUGCCUGGAUCUAAAGAAAGCAUCAUAGAUUAUUUUUAAGGAAUUCUUCUGAGUUUGUUUUGAAUAAAAACUAAU